AUUCAGUUUAUUUCGGCCCAAAAUUCUAUUUUUGGACUCAUAUUUUUUCUUUUUAGGUGUUAUUUCCUCUUAUACUUAUGCUUGCAACCGCUAUCAUACAUUAACUUUUGCAACUUUGUGACUCGGAAAGUCGCAAAAUUCGAAUUUCUCUUUUUGUCUAGCUAAGAGACUCCAAUAUUUAUUUUAUUCAGUUUAUUUCGGCCCAAAACACAAUUUCUAGACUUGUAUUUUUUCGUUGCAGGUGUUUUUUCCUCUUAUACUAAUGCUUUCAACCGCUAUCAUGCAUUAACUUUUGCAACUUCGAGACUCGGAAAGUUCCGAAAUUCAAAUUUAUCUAUUUUGUUCUAUCUAAGAGACUCUAAUAGUUAUCUUAUUCAGUUUAUUUCGGCCAGAAACAUCAUCCUUACACACCUCGUCCCAUCAACAACCCAACUCCGACCACCCCCAUCUUCACUUUUCUUUUCAAAUUUUUGCACAGUGUAGGUGUUUAUCCACCCACAUUGUCGCGCUGUAUUGGUUUUUGUGUUUUUGCAUGAGGUUUUGAGCGGUGUUGCCUUGUGUUGCAAAGUUGACCAUCUCCAGUGCACACCAACUGUUCGAUAAAAGUUUCCACUCAAGCUCAAAAUGCCUAGAACCCGUGCUUCAUCCCCCAGGGGGUCGAGGCCCAAGCUAUUUCUCCCUCACCCACUUUUGAAGAGCAGGAGCUACUGUUUGAAACUACCUUCGCCAUUUGCGAAGACUUUCAAAACCAUAAGGCGACUCAAUGGGCGGUAACCGAGUUUAAGCGUAGGGGACUCAAGAAGCUGUUCAAACCGGUCACCUCUACUGUCUACUAGAAGUUGGUCAUUGAAUUCUAUACCAAACUUUCCCAUGACUGCAACAAUUUGGCCGCUCUCUCUUUUAAGGUAUACGGCCAAGCCAUUGACGUGACAAGGGCCGACAUUGUCGCAGCCCUUCAAUGCAAUGAUGAAUACCCUCUAGAAGCCGUACAUCUUGCCGAGCAACCGCCCCGAUUCUAUGUGGCGGAAAUCAUUAAAGAUAUGUGCCAAGGGCAAUAUGCAGACGCCCACCAUAAUGCCGGCAGUCGAUCCAAGCUACCCCAAUGGCUUUGGUUUGUGGACUCCAUCUUGCAUUGCAAUGCCUUUCCCUUGGGACACAAAACUCAGAAGCGUGAUCAAUUUCUACACACCCUCUACGCCUUCCACAACGAUGCUUUUGGUACUCCAUUCCCGACAUCAUUUGGAACCAAAUACAUAAAUUUUGGAAUUGAGUGCACAUUGGGGGAGCAAAGUCUACUCAUUCAUGGGGGUUGCCUUUUCCACACCUCAUCACGUAUAUUCUUAAAAAAAAGGGCAUCAAGGGCACCGUAGCAGACGAGCCAGCAACUACUACUAUAUUUGGCAUUCGCCAAUGGAAUAAGAGUUGCUCCCAUAUGCCCCGAAUACUCUCAGCACCAGCAACUGGUGAAAGAGGGAAUGAGGUCGAGCCAAUGGCCGAAGAUGAACCGGCAGCUAAGUCGGCAGCAGCAGAAAAGGAGGAGGCCCCAAUCAUCUUUCAAGCCACACAGUACCGCUCCCUUAGUGAAGAGAUGGUAGGCUUCGAAGAAAAUUGGCUAAUCAAAGAAGGGAAGCUCGGGAAGAUAAAGCACUGAUGGAUCAACGACUAGCUGCCUUGGAAGACUUGAUGCAGACCAUUCUUAGCUGAUUACCACCACCAUCUGAAGCAUCUACUUCGGGACAGCACUAAGCAAGGACCACUGUCUGGCUGAAGGCGUAAAACUUAGCGCUCAUGGGAGGCACCCCAUAAUUUAUCCUUUCAUUUUGUUUAGUGUGUUUUAAAUUCAAUUUUUAUUUAUGUUUUGUUUCUUUUUACUUGUUUGUGUGUUUUCUUAUUUUGUAGGAACAAGUGUGCUUCACUUCAAGUUUGGGGGUGUGCUAUGAGCCAUGCUUCCCAAGAUCAUGUCGACCGUCUCCUGGGCUUUUGGAAGAAAAUGAAGUAAAUCUAGAAGAUUUGGGCUUAAAGAGAGAAGAUGGGAAAAAUGGAGCCCCUAAUACUGCGAUUGAUCACAGGUUCCCUGCGAUCGAGCGCAAUACCAGAAAAGACGAAGCACAAAUCAGGCAAUGAGCGCUUGAUCGCAUCAAUUGCAACCCGUGAGUGCUCGAUUGCAGCCCAUGCGCCGGAGACACCUCAAAGCUGUGGCCAUGAUGCUAAUAUUUCAUAUUAGGGUUUUUCAACUCCCACUCAAAAAGUUUUGAAACCUUACGAAAUUACUAGGUUUACUAGUUUGUUAAAGACUUUUAAAGUCUAUAAAUAGACCCUUAAGUCUCUAGAAUAAGAGGCUUGUAAGGAGAAGAAUUGGAGCUCUUCAAGUUCAAGUUUUGGGUUUAUGCUUUUCCUUUUAUAAUUUUAUUUAUUAAAAAUGUUUAACAUCAACUCUAUGUGUAACUAAUUUAUUUAGUAGGGAUAGAUUGAAGCUCUAGUUAUAUUUAGUUAAUAUUUCAAUAUUUGCACUUU